rnacentral:rRNA from 1 species
UCCGGUGGUUAUGGCGGUGGAGAUAUACCUGUUCCCAUACCGAACACAGAAGUCAAGCCCACCAGCGCCGAUGGUACUUGGGGGUCCCCCCCUGGGAGAGUAGGUCGCCGCCGGGA